rnacentral:lncRNA from 1 species
AGGGGAGCACGCACAGGUGUGUGAGAUAACAGGUGGUUCAGGUGAGCACGCACAGGUGUGUGAGGUGAGAGCUGGUCCAGGUGAGCCCUCACAGGUGUGUGAGGUGAGAGCUGGUCCAGGUGAGCACGCACAGGUGUGUGUGAGGUGAGAGCUGGUCCAGGUGAGCCCGCACAGGUGUGUGAGGUGACAGCUGGUCCAGGUGAGCCCUCACAGGUGUGUGAGGUGAGAGCUGGUCCAGGUGAGCCCUCACAGGUGUGUGUGAGGUGAGAGCUGGUCCAGGUGAGCCCGCACAGGUGUGUGAGGUGAGAGCUGGUCCAGGUGAGCCCUCACAGGUGUGUGUGAGGUGAGAGCUGGUCCAGGUGAGCCCUCACAGGUGUGUGAGGUGAGAGCUGGUCCAGGUGAGCCCGCACAGGUGUGUGAGGUGAGAGCUGGUCCAGGUGAGCCCUCACAGGUGUGUGAGGUGAGAGCUGGUCCAGGUGAGCCCGCACAGGUGUGUGAGGUGAGAGCUGGUCCAGGUGAGUCCUCACAGAUGUGUGAGGUGACAGC